rnacentral:rRNA from 1 species
AGAACGAACGCUGGCGGCAUGCCUAAUACAUGCAAGUCGAACGAAGGCUUCGGCCUUAGUGGCGCACGGGUGCGUAACGCGUGGGAAUCUGCCCCUUGGUUCGGAAUAACAGUUGGAAACGACUGCUAAUACCGGAUGAUGACGAAAGUCCAAAGAUUUAUCGCCAAGGGAUGAGCCCGCGUAGGAUUAGCUAGUUGGUGAGGUAAAGGCUCACCAAGGCGACGAUCCUUAGCUGGUCUGAGAGGAUGAUCAGCCACACUGGGACUGAGACACGGCCCAGACUCCUACGGGAGGCAGCAGUAGGGAAUAUUGGACAAUGGGCGAAAGCCUGAUCCAGCAAUGCCGCGUGAGUGAUGAAGGCCUUAGGGUUGUAAAGCUCUUUUACCCGAGAUGAUAAUGACAGUAUCGGAGAAUAAGCCCCGGAUAACUCCGUGCCAGCAGCCGC